GUCUCUAAUGAGGAUUCAAUUCAAUUAAAACUUUCGUUCUUCUGAUGAAAAAUCCAUGAAGAAUGCUAUUUUGGAGACCUGAACUGAAGAGAC